UCAGAUUUAAGAUACUCGGGU
rnacentral:piRNA from 1 species